GUUAUAAGACGAGUCGGGAAAGUUUUUUCGCUAAGAGAUCAGUCUAUGUCCUAUCAGCUAGUUGGUGAGGUAAUGGCUCACCAAGGCUAUGACGGGUAUCUGGUUUGAGAGGAUGAUCAGACACACUGGAACUGAGACACGGUCCAGACUCCUACGGGAGGCAGCAGUGAGGAAUAUUGCACAAUGGAGGAAACUCUGAUGCAGCAACGCCGCGUGGAGGAUGACGCAUUUCGGUGUGUAAACUCCUUUUAAGAGGGAAGAUAAUGACGGUACCUCUUGAAUAAGCACCGGCUAACUCCGUGCCAGCAGCCGCGGUAAUACGGAGGGUGCAAGCGUUACUCGGAAUCACUGGGCGUAAAGGGUGCGUAGGCUGGCUUCUAAGUCAGAUGUGAAAUCCAAUGGCUUAACCAUUGAACUGCAUUUGAACUGGGAGCCUAGAGUUCAGAAGGGGCAGAUGGAAUUAGUGGUGUAGGGGUAAAAUCCGUAGAUAUCACUAGGAAUAUCAAAAGCGA
rnacentral:rRNA from 1 species